rnacentral:rRNA from 1 species
GACGAACGCUGGCGGCGUGCUUAACACAUGCAAGUCGAACGAAGUGGCGAACGGGUGAGUAAUACGUGAGUAACCCGCCCUCCUUUUUGGGAUAAGCCUUGGAAACGGGGUCUAAUACCCACUACAGGGGGUUGGGCUCGCGGCCUAUCAGCUUGUUGGUGGGGUGAUGGCCUCCCAAGGCGGUGACGGGUAGCCGGCCUGAGAGGGUGAACUGCGACAGUGGAACUGGGAUACAGCCCAAACGCAUACAGGAGGGGGCAGUGGGGGAGAUUGGACGAAGGGCGGAAGCCUGAAGGAGCGACGCCGCGUGGGGGAUGACGGCUUUCGGGUUGUAAACCUCUUUCGAUAUCGAACGGGUAGGUGGAGAAGAAGCGCCGGCUAACUACGUGCCAGCAGCCGCGGUAAUUC